UGCCCAUUCUGGUAACUCCCUGGACUACUUGGUGCUGCCCCGAGGGCUUAUGGCCUGACUGUCAGAUGGUAGAGCCAAGGCUUCCAUGGUGCCCUCAGUAGAGGGAGAACCACAUCCCACCUUCAUGUCACUACCACAUGCUCUGGAUGCCACCUGCCACCCUCCUCCCCUCUCAUGCAGAUGGACCGUAUUUCUACUUUCUACCCAAAUGUUCUCCCUUGUCAUGAUCAGGAAUAUGGUGACCAGGGCCCUGACAAUAUCACAGCAGCAGCCAAUUAGGGGGAAAGACUAUGUUCCACAACUGGA
rnacentral:lncRNA from 1 species